rnacentral:rRNA from 1 species
UACGUAGGGACCAAGCGUUGUUCGGAUUUACUGGGCGUAAAGGGCGCGUAGGCGGCGCGGUAAGUCAGUUGUGAAAUCUCUGAGCUUAACUCAGAACGGCCAAGUGAUACUGCAGUGCUAGAGUGUGGAAGGGGCAAUCGGAAUUCUUGGUGUAGCGGUGAAAUGCGUAGAUAUCAAGAGGAACACCAGAGGUGAAGACGGGUUGCUGGGCCAACACUGACGCUGAUGCGCGAAAGCCAGGGGAGCAAACGGG